rnacentral:rRNA from 1 species
AACGAUGAAGAGUUUGAUCCUGGCUCAGGAUGAACGCUAGCGGCAGGCCUAACACAUGCAAGUCGAGGGGUAACAUAGGGUGCUUGCACCCUGAUGACGACCGGCGCACGGGUGCGUAACGCGUAUACAAUCUGCCCUUUACUGGGGGAUAGCCUUUAGAAAUGAAGAUUAACACCCCAUAACAUAUAGAGUUCGCAUGGACAUUAUAUUAAAGGUUACGGUAAAGGAUGAGUAUGCGUCCUAUUAGCUAGAUGGUGCGGUAACGGCGCACCAUGGCGACGAUAGGUAUGGGCCCUGAGAGGGGGAUCCCCC